rnacentral:lncRNA from 1 species
CAACGAGGAACUACAGUAUGGGGAAUGCAGCAAAUCUUCUCAUUCUCCAUCUCUAGGUGUAAGAGUCCCAGAUGUGUAAUUUCACUGGGUUAGUGUUCUGGAAGUGAGAAUGAGACAACCAAGCAAAAGUGUUCUCACAAAAUAGUAGCAAAAGUGGCACUAUUAGCCCAUUAGGGUCAUAAAAUGCACAUUCCUUGACAUACAUUCAAGUACAAGGCUCCAACUGUCAACAAAACUUUGCAGUUAUGUUAAGGCAGAAAAUAUAACAUCCUUUAAAAUUGCAGGCAUGAAAUAGGAUGUAUAUGCAUUUAUGUGGAGAAACUAAGCUGCCACUCCUCGUGUUGAUGAGGAGAGCAGAUACAUAAUAGGAAGAACAAAAGAAUAAACGUUUUUAAAACCGGACUAGUGGUUCAACUAGUCAAACUGGUAGAACCAUGUUCUAACAGUUCGACCAGUUGAGCCAAUUGCAUGUAAAGUUGUCAAGUAGAAUACACCUGUCCAGAACAAAAGAAGCCCCGGUCACUCGGCAAAGUUGCUUGAGCACAAAAGACAGGAUUCCUGUUCUCAAUAGAAUUGUUCAAAUUUUUAAUAGACUAAGCCAAUACGGUCAAUAAAUAAGCAAUCCAUCACAAAAUGAAGCAAGAAGACACCGGAGCAGAUGGUUGGCAUGCCUUUUAGUUACAAGAGGUUAGAGUUCCAAACCCCAACCCAACUUCAAUACUCUUCCUUAAAGUUUUUGAAAGACCUAGAACUGGUCUAGACUAGUUGACAGGCUUGCUGGGUUACCAAUUGAUAGGUACACAUGGUUACUGGUUCAACAAGGUCAAUACCACCAGUUGUUGACCAC